ACAAACUUGUCAUAACUAAUUCUGCAAAAUCUUGUGCACUGGUUUGACGGCAUUGAUCAUACGCGUCUCAGACUGUCAGUAUUUCUUGCUGCUCUCUAAAUCCUCAUUUGGCUUCUCCCUGUGGACAACAACAGCACGAUUUCUCCUCCUUGCCGUAGCGGAGCGCGGUGCGAGCUGCAGACGGCUUCAGAAGCCUAACAACUUCCACAAGAGGUCCACACAGAUGCUGUCUGGGAGGCGGGGUUCAGAGCGUUCAUCCCGUCUGCGUGCGUCCAGCGGGUUCCGACGCCUCUGCAAACACCCGUGCUGUGAUACAGGCCCAUCCUGCUCAUCCUCCCGCCUGCGCUCCCCGGCGCUCGCUCCUAAAAGUGAAGCGCUAUUCUAGGAGCAAGAUACUGGGGUAAAUGAAGACAUACAGCCCCCAGGUUCACCGGCCCGCUCAAGGUAACCUCUGCUGUCAGCACGCAUUUACUAAUGCCGCCUGUCGAGGGAAGAGGGAACUGAAAGAGGAGAAAAUAAUAUGCCACUGAGCAGAGGCCGUAUAUGAAAAUGCUAAUUUAUUCGUUGACAAUAUGCUCCGUGGGGAAGCUCACUAGAACCAUCGCUGCUAGAUUACAGUACAGAUCCUCAUCGAGCAUCCGGUGCACAUGGCUCCAUGUCCUCGUCCUCCUGCAGCCACAGGCAGCUGCUCUCACUGACACAGCUCUGAAGGUCCCACCGCGUGCCGCCGAACGGAAAGCAGCCAGUUUAAGGACUAGCUGGAGCAUUGGCUCACCGAAGAGAGACAAUUCCUCCGAGAGCUGGACGACAGCGAAACAGCAUUAAAAGUUGGACCGAAUGCGCGACUCGGAGUCUGUGUUCCACCAACGUGUCUGUAAUAACGGCUCAACAGAGUAAGAAAAUGUCCGCGACCGUGUUUACAGCUCUCCAUACUUCUGUCGAGCAAAGCCAUUCGUGCGUUAGGCUAAAGAGCGUCUGCCCUUCACUGAUUCUGAACCAGCCGUCGUAAUAAAGUCUCUGUUGUUGUUGUUGUUGUGAUGAUGACAUUACUAACCUGAAAAAUGCACAAUGUGAUUUGACUUUGGUUGAAUCAUUUGUUGAUUAUGUUAUAAUAAUAAUGUGUAGUUUUAUAUUCACCCUUUACCAGAAUCAUAAUGUUCAUACUAUAAAUACUUUUAGACCAUAUCUACUGUACAGUAGAUAGUUUUACAGACAACAUAAUAUACAGUAUCCAAAC